rnacentral:rRNA from 1 species
AUUGAACGCUGGCGGCAUGCCUUACACAUGCAAGUCGAACGGCAGCGGACCUUCGGGUGCCGGCGAGUGGCGAACGGGUGAGUAAUAUAUCGGAACGUACCUUUCAGUGGGGGAUAACGUAGCGAAAGUUACGCUAAUACCGCAUAUUCUGUGAGCAGGAAAGCAGGGGAUCGCAAGACCUUGCGCUGAUUGAGCGGCCGAUAUCAGAUUAGCUAGUUGGUGAGGUAAAGGCUCACCAAGGCGACGAUCUGUAGCGGGUCUGAGAGGAUGAUCCGCCACACUGGAACUGAGACACGGUCCAGACUCCUACGGGAGGCAGCAGUGGGGAAUUUUGGACAAUGGGCGCAAGCCUGAUCCAGCCAUGCCGCGUGAGUGAUGAAGGCCCUAGGGUUGUAAAGCUCUUUCACCGGUGAAGAUAAUGACGGUAACCGGAGAAGAAGCCCCGGCUAACUUCGUGCCAGCAGCCGCGGUAAAGU